rnacentral:rRNA from 1 species
UACGUAGGGGGCAAGCGUUGUCCGGAAUCAUUGGGCGUAAAGCGCGUGUAGGCGGCCAGAAAAGUCCGCUGUGAAAACUCGAGGCUCAACUUCGAGCUGUCGGUGGAAACUUUCUGGCUAGAGUCCGGAAGAGGAGAAUGGAAUUCCUGGUGUAGCGGUGAAAUGCGCAGAUAUCAGGAGGAACACCGGUGGCGAAGGCGGGUCUCUGGGCAGUAACUGACGCUGAGGAGCGAAAGCGUGGGGAGCGAACAGG